GACGAACGCUGGCGGCGUGCCUAAUACAUGCAAGUCGAACGCUUUGCUUUUCAUCGGAGCUUGCUCCACCGAAAAGCAAAGAGUGGCGGACGGGUGAGUAACACGUGGGCAACCUGCCCGACAGAGGGGGGAUAACACUUGGAAACAGGUGCUAAUACCGCAUAAUUUGUUUUCCCGCAUGGGAGAAUAAUAAAAGACGCCUUACGGUGUCACUGUUGGAUGGGCCCGCGCUGCA
rnacentral:rRNA from 1 species